UACGUAGGGGGCAAGCGUUGUCCGGAAUUAUUGGGCGUAAAGAGCGCGUAGGCGGUCCGAUAAGUCGGCUGUGAAAGUCAGGGGCUCAACCCUUGAAAGCCGGCCGAUACUGUCGGACUAGAGUCCGGAAGAGGCAAGUGGAAUUCCCGGUGUAGCGGUGAAAUGCGCAGAUAUCGGGAGGAACACCAAUGGCGAAGGCAGCUUGCUG
rnacentral:rRNA from 1 species